GGGGAUAUAGCUCAGUUGGUAGAGCACCUGCCUUGCACGCAGGGGGUCAGCGGUUCGAGUCCGCUUAUCUCCACCA
rnacentral:tRNA from 2 species